rnacentral:lncRNA from 10 species
GCUGGCCCCGCCUGCCCUGGGCAGUGAAGGGCUUAGCACCUGGUCCAGCAGCUGCUGUGCUCGAGUUCUCGCGGGGCCUUAGCUGCCUCCCCGCGGGGCAGGGCUUGGGACCUGCAGCCCGCCAUGCCUGAGCUUCCCCCCGCCCCCGCCGUGGGCUCCUGUGCGGCCCGAGCCUCCCCGACGAGCGCCGCCCCCUGCUCCACGAUGCCCAGUCCCAUCGACCACCCAAGGGCUGAGGAGUGCGGGCUCACGGUUACAGGAUUCCCAUUUCAGAACUACGACCAUUUGAAAAAUAGAAGAUUUAAAGAUUGACGCAAAGUGCAUGUACCAUGAUACACCAGGUCUCAUCUCCUGAAUAUUUGUCCUGCCCUGAGUUUUCACCUGAGGCCACCUGUACAACUGACUAGAGUAGUUCCACUGAUUGCUAAAAUGGAACAGGCAGGAUUGGUAUUGACUGUCCAAGAGCAAAGUCAGAUACAGGCAUUCCUGAGACUAAGUGAUUUAUGAAGAAAAGAGGAUUAUUUGGCUUACAGUUCUGCAGACUGUACAAGAAACCUGGCAUCAGCCCAGCAUCUGCAUCUGCUGAGGGCCUCAAGCUGCUUCCACUCAAAGCUGAAGGUGAAUGGGGGCCAGCAUGUACAGGGAUCGUGUGAUGAGAGAAAGCGAGAGAGAUGGGGAGGAAAGACGACAGGCUCUUCUGAACACCCAGCUCUCACUGGAACUAACAGCUGAGAACUCACCCACUACCUCCGCAUUCCAGGGAGGACAUAAGCCUAUUCCUGAAGGAUCUGCCCCCAUAACCCAAACACCUACCUUUUGGCUCCACAUUGGGGAUCAAAUUUUAACAUGAGGUUUGGAGGGGUCAAAUAUCCAAAUCAUAGCAAUCACUCACAAAUAUUGACGACCUCCAUGCAUUUCUUUAUCAAGUGGACUAUAGUGUAGAUGAUAAUUCCUUGUUCAAGACCAGCUACUGUAAUUCAAUAUUUGGUCAUAUCUCUGCUCUUUUUUUUUUUUUUUUGUAACUAGUGAAUAUUUUGUUCCCUGAAGAGCAAUUUUAAUUUAGAGGAAACUAUUAACUUUUUUCUGGCUUUCUUUCUCAGUUUUUAAAACCAUCAAUAUAUGUUAAAAAAAAUACCAUUACACCAAAAAAUAUACAGUUUAACCUUGUUUGUUUUUAUCUCAAACAUAAUCAGGACUUGUGUGUGUGCCCAUGUGCACACAUGUGUACAUGCAUGCACAUACGUGUGUUUGAUGCUCCUAUUCUCUGAAUCAUUUUUUGUAGAUUUUACUCCUUGUCUUAGGAAUUGGCUGCACCCUCUGCCAUAUUAAUUAAAUAUGAAGUCAAUCUACUCUGGUUUGACUAAAG